GAACUGUAAACGGGGUCACGCCUGACACUUUCAAGAAGGAUUCACAACUAUGGAAAAGAAGAAUGUCUUACUACAAGACGGUGAAUAAUCAAUUAGGCCAACCAGGGAGAUACAGAAAUCUACUAGAUAUAAAUGCCAACCUUGGUGGUUUUGCUGCCAGUUUGGUUGAUGACCCUGUUUGGGUGAUGAAUAUUGUUCCUGUUGAAGCUAAAGUCAAUACACUUGGUGUUAUUUAUGAACGCGGAUUAAUUGGAACAUAUCAAAGAAUGCCAACCUUGGUGGUUUUGCUGCCAAUUUGGUCGAUGACCCUGUUUGGGUGAUGAAUAUAGUUCCUGUUGAAGCUAAGGUCAAUACACUUGGUGUUAUUUAUGAACGCGGAUUAAUUGGCACAUAUCA
rnacentral:lncRNA from 1 species